rnacentral:rRNA from 1 species
GGCCGACAUGCAUUCAGAUCGUUAACUACACCACUAUACGACGAGGCUGUCGGUGCUCUCUUGGUUUAUGACAUCACCAGGAGGGAGACUUUUAACCAUCUCACCAACUGGCUACAAGAUGCAAGGAAAUAUGCACACUCUGGCAUGACAAUAAUGCUGAUAGGGAACAAAUGUGAUCUAUCGCACAGCCAUGCCGUGAGCUAUGAGGAAGGCGAGCGGUUCGCAAAGGACCAUGGUCUGCUCUUCAUGGAGGCAUCUGCAAAAACUGCACAGAAUGUUGUCGAGGGUUUCCUUCAGACUGCUGUAGCAAUAUACAAGAAAAUUCAGGAUCCUUCAUCCGGUCUAUAUAAUUAGGUUAGCUGAUUCAAAGUUGGCUACACAGUCCCUAGCAUCAUUAGAGGUGCGGGUUCGUCGUCUUCCAAUGGUUAA